CGGCCCGGCCCGGCCCGGGCUCCCACGAUGGAUCCAGACUCGGGCUCCCCUGAGACAAGUCUGCCCCUAGACCCGGGCUGAGGGCAUUGGGCACGGAUUAAAGUUCCGGGAACUUGGCAGUUGGCAGCUUCCACAGCGCUGGUCAAACAAACCAGAACUCUGACAGAAGAUACUUUUAUGGCUGAGACCGGCUCUCAAGUUAGAAAUAGAAAAGCUAACUGGAAAGGUCAGCAAAACCAUAUAACCUGUGGCCGUGGACACUCAAGACUUCGAGUCUAAUUCAGUGCCCCCAAAUCAAAAUUACCCACGACUUUCAGAGAUGUCGAGGACAAUGAAGACCGUU